rnacentral:misc_RNA from 1 species
UCAAAACAAAUCUGCAGUUAGGUUAGCCCUGCUGUAGUAUUUAAACCAACUGUGAAUCUAAACCUUUAUGCUUCGGUAGCAGGUGAGUUUUACUGCUCACUUGUCAGCCUACCGGUGGCACCAAACCAAACCUGUUUCUAAACUCAUGUCUGAAAAUUAUCAUUUAUGAAUGAAAAUUA